AAUGUUAUAAUUAAUUAAUAAUUUUUUUAGUGUUGAAAAGUCGUUUUAAUAUAA
rnacentral:tRNA from 1 species